ACUACAAGUCCCGUCAUGCGCCGGGGGCUGGCCGCCCACACCCCCCAAUCUCCCAAGAUGCAACGGAAAGAACUUUAGUCCUGGGAGCCGGGUACCCCGGAGGUCUGAAAGGACCUAGUCAUUCUGCACGGAUACACGACACGAGUCCUUCCUGUUCCUGUCAUGCAGAAGUUAUGAUUCAGGUCCAAAGCCCUGCGGCUGGCUGUUCUUUCCUGCACGCCCCGACCAGCCCUUACUCCCCUUUUGUGAACGCCCGUGACUAGGAGGAACUCUGAGGACGAGGGAUAGAAUGAAUAUUGGGCUGGAAUCGGGAGAUAUGUAUUCCAGUCCUAACUUCAUCACUAAUUUGCUGUGACCAGACAUUUUCCGUAUUCAAACGAAAACUCUUCAUAACAAUAGCAGUUCUUUGAGCGCUUACCGUGUGCUUUCCCAUCUUCUAGCUUAAUCCUUGUAACUACUUAUCAAGAUGAGUAGUAUUUGUUAUUCCCAUUUGCGUCUGAGGAGAGUAAGGUAAAAAGAUAACUUUGUCGCAUCGCUAUGAGUGGUUCCAGCAGGGACUCAGAAGCAGGAAGUCUGGCACCAGUACCCGUUUUAACCACUGAACUACCCUCCCUAACUCGUACCCAGAAGAAAUGAACAUGGCACGCUUUCCUCGAGGAUGAGUCAAGUCUGCUGUUUACCAGGUAACAUUGAGAGGCAAUGUGGCUGAAGGUGGAACUCAAGCCAGAAAGGUUUGGAAUCCAGGUCUCUGAGAACGAAGGCCCUUGAUUAUUUCCAGACAAACACGCUGGAAGUCUCUUGAGGAGGUCAUGAUCUCGUGGUUCAUGGGAUUGAGCCCUGUGUCCGCC